rnacentral:rRNA from 1 species
GACGAACGCUGGCGGCGUGCCUAAUACAUGCAAGUCGAGCGCAGGAAAUCGACGGAACCCUUCGGGGGGAAGUCGACGGAAUGAGCGGCGGACGGGUGAGUAACACGUAAAGAACCUGCCCUCAGGUCUGGGAUAACCACGAGAAAUCGGGGCUAAUACCGGAUGGGUCAUCGGACCGCAUGGUCCGAGGAUGAAAGGCGCUUCGGCGUCGCCUGGGGAUGGCUUUGCGGUGCAUUAGCUAGUUGGUGGGGUAAUGGCCCACCAAGGCGACGAUGCAUAGCCGACCUGAGAGGGUGAUCGGCCACACUGGGACUGAGACACGGCCCAGACUCCUACGGGAGGCAGCAGUAGGGAAUCUUCCACAAUGGACGAAAGUCUGAUGGAGCAACGCCGCGUGAACGAUGAAGGCCUUCGGGUCGUAAAGUUCUGUUGUAAGGGAAGAACAAGUGCCGCAGGCAAUGGCGGCACCUUGACGGUACCUUGCGAGAAAGCCACGGCUAACUACGUGCCAGCCGCCGCAGUAAAAC